AGCCCCACAAAGUGGUGGGAUUACAGGUGUGAGCCACCGCGCCCGGCAGGAAUGCCUUUUAAGCUUCUUAUCUCACCCUGUUAACCAGAGAGCCAAGGCAUCGAGACACAGUGGGAAGCGUUCCAAGCUCACCACAAGACCCACAUUUGAAAGCAGCUUGGCCAGUCCCCUUCAACUCUUCAGUACUUCAAUUUCCUCAUCCCUCAGCAGGCGACCCGUUCCAGAAUGACCCCUUUGCAGAACAGCAGACAACUUCAACAGAUCCAUUUGGAGGGGACCCUUUCAAAGAAAGUGACCCAUUCCGUGGCUCUGCCACCGACGACUUCUUCAAGAAACAGACAAAGAAUGACCCAUUUACCUCGGACCCAUUCACGAAAAACCCUUCCUUACCUUCGAAGGUGAGUGGGGUGGGACGUUGCCUGGGAGAGCCGCACGCCUGCUCUGUGUGUGUGAGGGUGGCACUUCCCGAAGCCCUCCUUCCCUUCGUGGAGUGUACGUGGUGCCUGCGAGUACGGGCCUUGGUGCCUGUUCUCUGGGAGCUGGUAUCCCAGGCUGAUUGCAUUCCUGCUGAAUGAGGGAGCUGUCUGGCCUAGUCACUGCAGUGACUCGCCUGUGAGCCCCAAGGUUCAGUCAGCUGUCCAGUGGCCCCACGUCAGGGCAAGGAGGAUGUCACCCACAGUUCUUAUUCCUCUAUCCCCAUCCCCACCCCGCAACUCUAGUCAUCUGCCUCCACUGCCCCUUCAUCUCCCAAAAAAGACUAAAUCAUACAAGCACCACAUACUCGCACGGACCCGGCCACCCCACACAGUCCUUGUAACACACAGCACUGGUGGGGACCUUAGAGUCACCUUGGUGGUGCCCCUGUCACGGCAGGAGUAAGUGCAGGCGUCUCAGCCUGACUGCCUUGCCUGGUGUUGUCUCCUGAGAGCAUCAGCCAACUCUGACCCUCCAGUUUCCAACUCCAGCACACCUGUGCUUCCAUCCCCAGGCGUGGCAGACACCGGGCGUUUUGCACAUUAUGCCUAAGAGAUUGGGUUAAAUAGCUGUCAACUUGGAUUUUAAAACAAAACAAAAAAAAGCAGUCUCUGGUGAUGGAGGAGAGGAUUUUAAUGAUGGAGUGAGCUUGCUUCAUAGCCUUUUUCCGUUUUCUAGGCUGCAACCCAGGCCCAGGGCCUGCUCAGAGAUGAGCACUUAUCCCUCCUCCUCAGGGCUCCUGCUGCCCUGGUCCCCACCUCCCUCACUCCCUGUGGACCUUUUGGUCUUUAGCGUUUGGAGCUCUUUGAAGGCAACGAUUCAUUUGCAGUGUUUUCUUAUUGGCCCCUUUUUAACGUCCUUAAGACCUGUAGCAUUCCUGGUAUAGGUGAUCUGUUUACCAGUUUCAUUGACCUUCUCCAUACCUUUUCCAUAACCAACUUUUGGCUUCAUUUUUCUCUACUGCUUGUUUUCUAUUUCAUUGAUUUUCUCUUUUCUAUUUCUGUUUUUUCCAUUUCCUUACUCCUGUUUAUUUGGGGUUUACCUUGCUCUUCUAAUGUCUUAAGCUCCAACCUUCAUUCAUUGAUUUUAGACUUCAUUUUCUAGUACAGGCGGUCCCUGAGUUACGAUGGUUCAACUUACAGUUUUUUGAUUUUACAGUAGUUUUAUUGAGAUGCAGUCCCAUCAUAAGUCGAGGAGUGUCUGGAUUUAUGUUGGUUCAACUUCUGAUUUUUUGCUUUAUGAUGGAUUUAUUGGGAUAUUAAGUACAUUUUUGAUUUAAGAUAUUUUCAACUUACAAUAGGUUUAUCAGGACGUAACCCCAUGGUAAGUCAAGGAGCGUCUGUAUAAAUUUAAAGCAACGUAUUUCCCGCAAGCACUACUUUACCUGUAUUUCAUAUAUUUGAGUACUUUGUCUCUUCAUUGCCAUUCAGUUUUGAGAUGUUUCCCAGUUUCCCUUGUGAAUUCUGUUUACCCAUGGAUUACUUAAAAGUGUGUUGUUUCAUUUCCAGAUACUUGGCUUCUUCUCCUAGGUCUAUUAUAAUACUAUUAUUAUUGAUUUUUAAUUCAGUUUGUUAUUAGAGAACAUUUUCUGUAUGUUUUCAAUACCUUCACAUUUAUCAAGGGUUGCUGUUUAUGGCCUAUGUUGGUGAACAAACCAUGUACACUUGAGAAGAAUGUGUCUCUAGUUGUUGGGUGUAAUGUUCUACAAAUGGCAGCGAGGUUGAGCUUCCUGAUAGUGUUCAGAUUAUGUGUGUCUUCAUUGUUUGUUCCUUUUUUAGUUCUACCAAUGGCUGAGAGAGAGGUGUUAAACGUUCUCCUAUGAUUGUGGAAUUGUUCAUACUGCACUUUAAUUUGAUCAAGUUUUGCUUUGUGUAUUUUGAAGCUCUGUCAGGUGCAUAGAUGUUUAUGAUUGUUGUGUCUUCCUGACACAACAACCUUUUUAUCAUUAUAAAAGGUUCCCAUUUGAUCUCUGGUGAUGUUCUUUGUCUUGAAGUCUGUUUUAUCACUUCAUUCUCCUCAUGUUAUUCACUAUAUGAUACAUCAUUUUUCAGCCAUUUACUUUCAACUUACCUGGGUCUUUAAAACUGAUAGAUGUCUUUUGUAACUAGUGUAGUGUUGCGACUUGCUUUUUUUUUUAUCCAGUCAGAAGUCCCUGCCUUGUAAAUGGAAUGUUUAGUCCAUUAACAUUUAAUGUAAUUAUUGAUAUGGUUUAAGUCUACUAUUUUAUUAUUUGCUUCCUUUUUAUCCCAUGUUUUGU